ACAAACUUGGUCAUUUAGAGGAAGUAAAAGUCGUAACAAGGUCUCCGUUGGUGAACCAGCGGAGGGAUCAUUAAAGAGUUCUAUAACUCCCAAACCCCUGUGAACAUACCUAUACGUUGCCUCGGCAGGUCGCGCCCUCCCCCUCAAGGGAGACGCGGUCAAGCCUGCCGGUGGCCCCCCAAACUCUGUUUAUAACUACUGUAUCUCUGAAAACAAACCAAAUAAGUUAAAACUUUCAACAACGGAUCUCUUGGUUCUGGCAUCGAUGAAGAACGCAGC
rnacentral:misc_RNA from 1 species